rnacentral:rRNA from 1 species
CGGACGGGUGCGUAACGCGUGGGAAUCUACCUUGUAGUGGGGGAUAGCCCGGAGAAAUCCGGAUUAAUACCGCAUAAUCUCUACGGAGCAAAGUGGGGGAUCUUCGGACCUCACGCUAUUAGAUGAGCCCGCGUUAGAUUAGCUUGUUGGUGAGGUAAUGGCUCACCAAGGCAACGAUCUAUAGCUGGUUUGAGAGGAUGAUCAGCCACACUGGGACUGAGACACGGCCCAG